UUCCCUGGUUUCCUCUAUGUCAUAUCUCCACCAUGCAUUUAGAAUCUCAUGAUACUACAGCAGUGUUUCCCUGGGUUCCUCUGUCAUAUCUCCACCAUGCAUUUAGAAUCUCAUGAUACUACAGCAGCGUUUCCCUGGUUUCCUCUGUCAUAUCUCCACCUUGCAUUUAUAACCUCAUGAUACUACAGCAGCGUUUCCCUGGUUUCCUCUAUGUCAUGUCUCCACCAUGCAUUUAUAAACUCAUGAUACUACAUCAGUGUUUCCCUGGUUUCCUCUGUCAUAUCUCCACCAUGCAUUUAGAAUCUCAUGAUACUACAGCAGCGUUUCCCUGGUUUCCUCUAUGUCAUGUCUCCACCAUGCAUUUAUAAACUCAAGAUACUGCAGCAGUGUUUCCCUGGUUUCGUGUGGUGGGGGUGGGGGCUGUCCUGACUGCUGGAGCUCUUCUAGUCAACAUGUACUGCACUCUGAAGAGGAGAUCCACAGGAGGAAGUGAUGCCACAUCAGACACACAGAGUGUCCAUCCUAAUCCUAACAGUAAGACGUACACAGCUCUGAACAUGAAGACCAGGUCACCAGAGUAUGACACCCUGGCAAAUCACCCACCACAACCGGACCAAGCAGCGUGUCAACAGGCAGGAGCCGCAGGAGAGGCAACAGAGGCAGCAGCAGCAGGAGCAGCAGCAACUACAGUGGGAGAGGCUGCACUACUUGGAGAAAUGGACUUGGGAGGAGAUUCUAGAUGGGAAAGGACCCUGGGAACAGCCUGGAGAUUAUUGUCGCCCCAAAGCCGAGCUGGAGGCAGCAAAAGCAGAGAGGCGGCAUUAUGAGGAGCUAGCACGGCAGAGCGGAUGGAAGCCCGAGAGUCAGCCCGAAAAAUGUAUUGGGGGGGGCUCACAGGGAGUAUGGCUAUGCCAGGUAGGAGAUCAGCGCAAACUCCCUGUGCUUACCGGGGGCUAGAGAGACCGGGCAGGCACCGUGUUAUGCAGUGGUGCGCACAGUGUCCCCAGUGCAGGUGCAUAGCCCGGAAGCGGUAUAUUCCCGCUCCUCGUAUCGGCCGGGCUAGAGUGGGCAUCGAGCCAGGUAAGGUUGGGCAGGCUCGGUGCUCAAGAGCUCCAGUGCACCUGCACGGUCCAGUCUAUCCAGUACCACCUCCACACCCCAGCCCUCCGGUAGCAGCUCCCCGCACCAGGCUUCCUGUGCGUGUCCUCGGUCCAGUACCACCAGUACCAGCACUACGCAUCAGGCCUACAGUGCGCCUCGCCUCUCCUGCGCUGUCGGAGUCUCCCGCCUCUCCAGCGCUGUCGAAGCCUUUCUCCUCUCCUGCGCUGCCGGAGUCUCCCGCCUGUUCAGCGUAGCUAGAGCCUUCUUCCUCUACAGCGCUGCUGGAGUCUCCUGCCUGUUCAGCGCAGCCAGAGCUGCCCGCCUGCAUGGAGCAGCCAGAGCUAUCGGUCUGCAUGGAGCAGCCAGAGCUGUCAGUCUACAUGGAGCAGCC
ensembl:lncRNA